GGUCUUGGGUCUGGGGUUUUGGGUGCCAGGUGGGAGGUUUUGGGUGCUGGGUGGGAGGUUUUAGGUGCCAAGCAUGAGGUUUUGGGUGCCGGGUCUGGGGUUUUGGGUGCCGGGUGGGACAUUUUGGGGUUUUGGGUGCCAAGCAUGAGGGUUUGGGUGCCGGGCAGAAGGUUUUGGGUGGAAGGUGCCGGGUAGAAGGUUUUGGGUGCCAGGUAAAAGGUUUUGGGCGCCGGGCAGAAGGUUUUGGGUGGAAGGUGCUGGGCAGAAUGUUUUGGGUGCUGGGCAGAAGGUUUUGGGUGUCGGGUAGAAGAUUUUAGGUGCUGGGCAGAAGGUUUUGGGUGGAAGGUGCUGGGCAGAAGGUUUUGGGCAUUGGGUAGAAGGUUUUAGGUGCUGGGUAGAAGCUUUUGGGUGCCGGGUAGAAGAUUUUAGGUGCUGGGCAGAAGGUUUUGGGUGGAAGGUGCUGGGCAGAAGGUUUUGGGCAUUGGGUAGAAGGUUUUAGGUGCCGGGCAGAAGGUUUUAGGUGCUGGGCAGAAGGUUUUGGGUGGAAGGUGCCGAGCAGAAGGUUUUGGGUGCCGGGUGGAAGGUUUUGGGUGCCAGGUGGAAGGUUUAGGGUGCCGGGUAGAAGGUUUUGGGUGCUGGGUAGCUUUUGGGUGCCGGGUAGGAGGGUUUAGGUGCUGGGCAGAAGGUUUUGGGUGGAAGGUGCCGGGUAGAAGGUUUUGGGCGCUGGGUAGGAGGUUUUGGGUGCCAGGUGGAAGGUUUUGGGUGCCAGGUGGAAAUUUUUGGGUGCCGGGCAGAAGUUUUUGGGUGCCGGGUGGGACGUUUUGGGUGCCAAGCAUGAGGUUUUGGGUGCUGUGCAGAAGGUUUUGGGUGGAAGGUGCCAGGUAGAAGGUUUUGGGUGCCGGGCAGAAGGUUUUGGGGUGCCAGGUACAACUUUUUGGGUGCCACCUGCCCUCCACGGGCACAACCUGUGGGGAUUGCGGGGACAGAACAUAUCCUUUGGGGCCACCUCGUGAUGUCACCCCCUCUUUCUUCACAUGUGUGUGUCCCCCCACUUCCACCCCACCCCCUCCC
rnacentral:lncRNA from 1 species